UACGUAGGUGGCAAGCGUUGUCCGGAAUUAUUGGGCGUAAAGAGCAUGUAGGUGGGAAUCUAAGUCUGUUGUGAAAAUGCGGGGCUCAACCCCGUAUGGCGAUGGAAACUGGAUUUCUUGAGUGCAGGAGAGGAAAGGGGAAUUCCCAGUGUAGCGGUGAAAUGCGUAGAUAUUGGGAGGAACACCAGUGGCGAAGGCGCCUUUCUGGACUGUGUCUGACGCUGAGAUGCGAAAGCCAGGGUAGCGAACGGGAUUAGAUACCCCGGUAGUCCUGGCCGUAAACGAUGGGUACUAGGUGUAGGGGGUAUCGACCCCCCCUGUGCCGGAGUUAACGCAAUAAGUACCCCGCCUGGGGAGUACGGCCGCAAGGUUGAA
rnacentral:rRNA from 1 species